GACGAACGCUGGCGGCGUGCUUAACACAUGCAAGUCGAACGGAAAGGCCCUGCUUUUGUGGGGUGCUCGAGUGGCGAACGGGUGAGUAACACGUGAGUAACCUGCCCUUGACUUUGGGAUAACUUCAGGAAACUGGGGCUAAUACCGGAUAGGAGCUCCUGCUGCAUGGUGGGGGUUGGAAAGUUUCGGCGGUUGGGGAUGGACUCGCGGCUUAUCAGCUUGUUGUGGGGUAGUGGCUUACCAAGGCUUUGACGGGUAGCCGGCCUGAGAGGGUGACCGGCCACAUUGGGACUGAGAUACGGCCCAGACUCCUACGGGAGGCAGCAGUGGGGAAUAUUGCACAAUGGGCGGAAGCCUGAUGCAGCAACGCCGCGUGCGGGAUGACGGCCUUCGGGUUGUAAACCGCUUUCGCCUGUGACGAAGCGUGAGUGACGGUAAUGGGUAAAGAAGCACCGGCUAACUACGU
rnacentral:rRNA from 1 species